rnacentral:rRNA from 1 species
CAGCCGCCACGGGAACACGGAGGGUGCAAGCGUUAAUCGGAAUUACUGGGCGUAAAGCGCACGCAGGCGGUCUGACAAGUCAGAUGUGAAAUCCCCGGGCUUAACCUGGGAACUGCAUUUGAAACUGUCAGGCUGGAGUCUUGUAGAGGGGGGUGGAAUUCCAGGUGUAGCGGUGAAAUGCGUAGAGAUCUGGAGGAAUACCGGUGGCGAAGGCGGCCCCCUGGACAAAGACUGACGCUCAGGUGCGAAAGCGUGGGGAGCAAACAGGAUUAGAUACCCGAGUAGUCCCUGUUUCUUAUAA